rnacentral:lncRNA from 1 species
CCACCACCAGCCACAUCCAGGGGAGAUGACGUCUCUCAUCACCGCAGCUGGAGCUGCACACACCUGUUGUUAUUUUGCCUGAAAACCACAAAGGUGUCUAACAAUUUUGGCUUUAUCAAGUGUUACUCACAGCUAUGUGUUUUUUGGCUUUGAACAUUGUGUGAAUGUUGUAUUGAUCUUUCGAAAGCCCUCAGUACCUCGACUGCUGGCAGGUAGAGUGCAGUGAGAUAUUAAUCACCAAGCCUUACCAAGUGGUGCACCAUGCAGUGAGAUAAUAAUCGCCAAGCCUUACCAAGUGGGUGCACCGUGCAGAGAGAUAAUAAUCACCAAGCCUUACCAAGUGGGUGCACCGUGCAGUGAGAUAAUAAUCACCAAGCCUUACCAAGUGGGUGCACUAGAGCAGUGACGGCUCUAUUUCUUAGAUCAGUGUGUGAAUGGAGGAAAACAGGCAAUUGACCUCGUCCAGAUUGAUAUCUCAUCUAGACACAGUCAACUGAUGGUACCUCAUCUAGACACAGUCAAGUGAUGAUACCUCAUCUAGACACAGUCAACUGAUGAUACCUCAUCUAUACACAGUCAACUGAUGAUACCUCAUCUAGACACAGUCAACUGAUGAUACCUCAUCUAGACAGAUGGUGUCAUCGUCUUUACUUCAGACUGCCUGGACAUUACUCCAACAUUGUCCUCCCUGAAAAGAGAAAGAGAGAGAUGCCUUCCCUGUGGCUCAGUUGAUAGCACAUGGUGUUUACAACGCCAGCAUGGUGUGUGCAACGCCAGGGUUGUGGGUUUGAUUCCCACGGGGAGGCCAGUACAAAAAAAUGUAUGAAAUGUAUGUAUUCACUACUGUAAGUUGCUCUGGAUAAGAGCGUCUGCUAAAUUACUAAAAUGUAGAUGAUGUUACUGUGAGUAGACCACAGUCUACGCCCUUUCCUAGGACUGUUGAUAAACGCUUAGCUGCACAACCAAAGUGUUUCCCAGAGUGUGUACUAUUCCGCAUCCAGCCCUAGGUGCCCCUUUUUUAGUUGCACAGGUUUUUCACAUAUUAUUCAUCAAUCUGACAGAGUACCGCUUAACGAUCCAAUUAGUGAUGGGAGCCUCCCCGUUUUAGCAGCUGUGAGCGUUCACACACACACACAACGCUUCUUUUAAUUGUUUUUUCUCUCUCGGCAGAAUUGGAGUAGGCAGUUCCAUCAAUACCGUGAUCAAUUUAGAACAAACAAAUUAUUUUAGUGAAGAGAAAAAUAUACAAACAGCUGUCUCCAUACCACACCAAUGAAUAGUAAUGUCUCUGACCUGUGUAGUACAACUCGUCUUCAUUAGGUGGAUGGAAAAGAUUAGAUGUAAGGUCUUUUUUUAAGUAAAUACUCAAAUUAGGCGCUAAGAAUCAUCUGAAUGAUCAAUAAUAAUUAUAGGUUUGACAAGUUGACAGGAAUACACUAAUAAACUAAAAUGUAAAAACAUGCACAUCAAUUAUAUUCAGUGGUGUAAAGUACUUAAGUAUAAAUACUUUAAAGUACUACUUAAGUCGUUUUUUGAGUGUAUCUGUACUUUAUAUUUUUGAUAAUUUUAACUUUUACCUCACUACAUUCCUUACGAAAAUACUUUUUUACUCCAUACAAUUUUCCCUCACACCCAAAAGUACUGAUUACAUGUUGAAUCCUUAGCAGGACCGGAAAAUGGUUUAAUUCACACACUUAUCAAGAGAACAUCCCUGGUCAUCCCUACUGCCUCUGAUCUGGCAGACUCACUAAACACAAAUGCAUUGUUUGUAAAUGAUGUCUGAGUGUUGCAGUGUGCCCCUGGCUAUGAGUACAUUUUAAAAAAAGAACAUUGAUUUAUACUUUUGCUUUUGAUACUUAAGUAUAUUUAGAACCAAAUACUUGUAGACUAUUACUCAAGUAGUAUUUUACUGGUUGACUUUCACUUUUACAAUGAGUACAUUUCUAUUAAUAUGUUUAUACUUUUACUCAAGUAUGACAAUUGGGUACUCUUUCCACAACUGAUUAUAUUCUUCCAUAAAACCAAAUAAGUUGUAAAUCACCAGAAAAUUGAUGUUUUUCUAAAAUGUUAUUUUGUAAUUUUGCCUUUUCAUCAUCUGAGCUUUCUGUUGACGUUGUGUUGUUGUGCUAGAUUGUUAUUGUAGUAGUUAUUGUGUACUCCUGGCCCAGUUGAGAUAAUAUUAUGGGAUGUUGCUAUGGGACGUUGCCAUGGAUUAAUUAGCUCUAUGUGACCGCAGGGACCAAGCAGAACUAGAUACGUCAUUACUGAAGAGUAAAAAGGAACAAUGUGAGACAAAUUAUACAACGCUUGAUAAAUGAACUAAUGUUACACUGAUUAAAUGGGUAAAAUGCAAUCUAUUUUUUCUCAAAUUACCAAUUUGUAUGUCGUCUUAAGACAGACAUGAAUCGAAUAUGUUUGUUUGCAAACGCGAAGACAGAGUUGUAACUCUAUUUAAUAGUAAUCACACGGCUGUAUUUGUAUCCGUUUCCAUAACAAGUAAAUGUAGCUAAAUUACCAGAUAGAGAAAACAUCACACCUCAAUCACAUACCGGUCAAAAUGGUUCUUCAUGAUCAGUAAUGGUAUUCAGCAUAACCUUCCUCUCAUGUGAUAUGGUCAGUAAUGGUAUUCAGCAUAACCUUCCUCUCAUGUGAUAUGGUAGGUAAUGGUAUUCAGCAUAACCUUCCACUCAUGUGAUAUGGUCAGUACGGUAUUCAGCAUAACCUUCCUCUCAUGUGAUAUGGUCAGUACGGUAUUCAGCAUAACCUUCCUCUCAUGUGAUAUGGUAGGUA